AGAUAAAAUUACCAAUCAGCUUUUUGGAAUGUUAUAAAACUAAUCACAGCUAAAACUCAGAAAACAAUUUUAAUCGAUUCAAAAAGCAAUUCAAUUCAUAGGUAAAAUCUGAACGCAAUAACAAGGUGAUAAAAUGAAACGUUUACUUGGACUUGCAAUUGUUCUGUGCUUAGUUUUUAUAUUCAAAGAUGUCAACCAGGUUUUAGAGGCCAAUGGUAUUAUAAACCCAUCUGAAAACACUGCAUUCGUUUUCCCAUUUUCCGCUGGACUCCCUCAACCGUUUAAAGGGCACACUAAAAACAAAAGAAAAAGUAACCAAGAGAAACAUGAAAAAGGUGACGCCAGAAGACAAGCAGAUCAAAGAAGGAAACAAGAACGAGAACAGCAAAACAAAAAGCACAAGGGAUAAACAAUAAUGCAACUUUAAAAUAAUUUUGGAAAACAUAUAUUUUUAUUUAAGAUUUUCAGAAUAUCUAUACAUAAUUAUC